CGGUCAAAUUUGUAAAAGGAACUUCACAGUAAAUAAACCAAAGCAUCUAAGUCUGAAGAUUGGAUAAUCUGAAUUUUCUCACACUGUGCAAUCAGGUUAAAAUAAACACUUGUGAAAUGAACAAUUUAUUUUCCCCAAAACAUCGCAAUCUCGUACAAGUCAACUAAAUUCUUCUUAGAGGAGGACUCAGCACACCAAGCAGUAUUUGAAAAGGAUUCUUGGAUCUGGCUUUGGCCCAACCAGGAAUCGGGGCUGUAGGGGAGCUGGAGGCUCGAGGCCAUACAAUUAUGCCACACACGGCUACAGCUUUAUUCCAAGGGGUAUGGGCACACAACCCAGUCAAUAUGGACAAUUUGGCUAUCAGCACAACCUGCCAAGAGGGGGCAGAAAACCCGCAGCAGUAGCAACAGCAACAUCAUCUGGCCCAAACUGAAAGAUUUUGAUGUUACUAUUACCACGUCACAAGGAUAUUUUGAAGCUCACACACAACCGCACACAACAUCCCAUGGGGAAGAAGUUGCAGUUGAUUGGAACAGUUGUGUCCGGAAAUCCCUUGCUGAUAGAGGCAUUUCACCGCAGAUUGUGGAAGGCAUCCUCGACAGCUGGCGAUCAGGCACAAGAAAGCAGUAUUCAUCAGCUUGGAAGAAAUGGACUUUGUGGUGUAACAUCCAAUAUAGAGAUUCCAUUUGUCCAACUCAAGAACUAAUUUUAAAAUAUUUGUUUUAUGUGAAGAACAUGAAUAAAUCUUACAGUGUAAUAAGUACACAUAAAUCUGUGAUUAUGGAAACCUUGAAGCUUCUUGAUCCUAUGUUCAAUGGUUUUAGUAUGAUUAUUAUUAGGUUUAUGAAGGGAUUAUACAACACUAUUCCACCAAAACCAAGAUAUAAUUUUACUUGGGAUGUCAGUAAAGUUCUUAAUAUGAUUUCUACAUGGAUGCCUCUUGAUAAGUUGUCUGUAAAAAUGUAAACAUUUAAACUAACAGUUUUAGUUACUUUAUCGACUGCUGCUAGGGUACAGACAUUAAAAUCUCUUUGUGUAGAUCGUUGUGUUUUGGAGGCCGAUAGGGUCUUGUUUAAUAGUGGUGAUAAGUUAAAGCAUUCAAAGCCAGGUAAUGAUCAUAUUUUAAUUUUGAGGGCUUUUGAAGAUCCUCGACUCUAUCCAGUUAGGACUUUGAAAAGUUUUUUGUCUAAAACAAAGGAUUUAAGAAAAUCUAGACAAUUGUUGGUUUCUUAUUCAAAUUUUAAGGCUGUGUCCACCAGUACCAUUGCCAGAUGGCUAAAAUAUGUGUUAGAUCUUGCAGGUAUUGAUACACUUAUAAACAGGCUCAUUCAUUUAGGGUAGCCUCUGUUUCUGCCGCGUUCAUGAAAGGUUGUAGAGUGUCUGACAUAUUAAAAACUGCUGAUUGGUCAUCAUUUAAAAAUUUCAAAAAAUUCUAUCUUAGGGAUAUUGAGCAUUCUGAAAGUGAUCCGGCUCAGUCAUUUAGUACUGCUGUUUAGUCUAGAGAUAAAAAAUAGUAUUAAUUAAAGAUACAUGUUGUUUCCACAAAGUACUAAAAAUGAUCAACAAGUCACAGUUUUAUUUGAUUACACGUUGUAGAUCUCAUACCUGCUGUAAUAUGAAGGUUGUUAUUUGUCUUUUCUGAUGUGCAUCUAUAUUAUUACUUUUAUAAGUGUUUUCAAAUUCCAGUUACAAUUAUAUUUGUUUGAUAAUGUAUUAAUAGAUAUUAUGAAUGCUCUGUUUUGCCUAUGAAUUUCCAUUAGGAAGAUUUUCCCCCCAAAUUAUGUUAUGAAAAAUGUUUCUAAACGUCCGUAAUGGACACAUCUUCAGUCAAUUAUUGAUCAUUUUUGUAAAAUUGUACUUUUUAUCAUGGACAGAUGUAAGGUUUAAUUGGAAGAAAUUAGAAUCUUAUUAGAAAUGGUGUCAAUAUUAUCAUUAUUAUGAUAUGAAA